GACUCAAGCGUUCGGAGAAGGCGUCACAAAGAAAGCAGGACUUCAAUCAGGCUUCAGAGGUGGAACUGAUUCCAAUCAGCACAAAAGGAGGAAAGAGAAAGAGCAGAACAAAGGCAAGGGUGCAGAAGUGAGAAUCAGCGUGCCAGGAUGACGGGCACACAGGAGAGCACGCUGGAUGAAUCGUAGGAUUCAUUUAUUCAGAGCAGAAAGGGGCAGGGGACCGAAAAAGGUAGGUUUGCAUGGGAUUGGGGGAAGAUUUCAACUAUACCCAAGGAAUUCCAAAUCAGUCUUGUAGGACAUAGGAGCCACCAGAGGCCGAGUGCAGGAGAGAUGAAAGUGGUCAUUUCAGUAGAGGACACACUGGACAAGAGCAGAUACAAAAUGAGAGCUUUCCCAUCAGAUGGCUUUCGGGAGACCAGCGUCCGCGACUUCCAUGCUAACCGUGAGGUUGGGGGCUUGAACCUUAACACUAUGCUCCUGUUGAGGCCCCUAGCCCUGAAUUUAGGCUGGCCCUGAGACUUGCUUUAACCAACAUAAUGUGUCAGAAGUAAUGUUGUGCUGGUUCCAGGCCGAAGUCUUAAGAAGAUCCGUUACCCUACUGGAGGGAUUAUGUGGAGAGACCACGCGGAGAAAGAGAAGCCCUGAAAUGAUAAAGAAACAGAGAAAGGCCCAGUGUCCCAGGAUCCCGGGGUCCCCACCUGAGCUCAGCCCCGGCCCACUCUCCAGCUGAAUGAAGCUUCCUGAGUAACCACCACCGACCAGACAAGCCGAAGAACUGCCGGGCCAAGCCCAGCUCAGAUUCCAGAAUCAUUAACAAAUAAAAGAGUCGCUGUUGCUGCUUUAAGUCA